GAGUUUGAUCCUGGCUCAGGAUGAACGCUAGCGGCAGGCUUAACACAUGCAAGUCGAGGGGUAACAGGAAAAAGCUUGCUUUUUUGCUGACGACCGGCGCACGGGUGCGUAACGCGUAUAGAACCUACCUUUUACAGGGGAAUAGCCCAGAGAAAUUUGGAUUAAUGCCCCAUAGUAUUAUUGAUUGGCAUCAAUUAAUAAUUAAACAUUUAUGGGUAAAAGAUGGCUAUGCGUUCUAUUAGCUAGUAGGUAAGGUAACGGCUUACCUAGGCGACGAUAGAUAGGGGUCCUGAGAGGGAGAUCCCCCACACUGGUACUGAGACACGGACCAGACUCCUACGGGAGGCAGCAGUGAGGAAUAUUGGACAAUGGAGGCAACUCUGAUCCAGCCAUGCCGCGUGCAGGAAGACGGCCCUAUGGGUUGUAAACUGCUUUUAUACAGGAAGAAACCUUUCCACGUGUGGGAAGCUGA
rnacentral:rRNA from 1 species